GCCUGGAUGGCUCAGUGGUUGAGCAUCUGCCUUCAGCUCAGGGGGUGAUCCUGGAGUCCUGGGAUCGAGUCCCACGUCGGGCU
rnacentral:tRNA from 1 species